rnacentral:rRNA from 1 species
UUUUAGAGUUUGAUCAUGGCUCAGGAUGAACGCUGGCGGCAUGCCUAAUACAUGCAAGUCGAACGGGGUGCUUGCACCCAGUGGCGAACGGGUGAGUAACACGUAUCUAAUCUACCCAUUAGCGGGGGAUAACAGUUGGAAACGACUGCUAAUACCGCAUACGACAUUUUCUGGCAUCAGAAAAUGUUAAAAGGUCCGUUUGGAUCACUAAUGAAUGAGGGUGCGGCGUAUUAGUUAGUUGGUGGGGUAAUAGCCUACCAAGACAAUGAUACGUAGCCGAACUGAGAGGUUGAUCGGCCACAUCGGGACUGAGACACGGCCCGAACUCCUACGGGAGGCAGCAGUAGGGAAUUUUUCACAAUGGGCGAAAGCCUGAUGGAGCAAUGCCGCGUGACUGAAGACGGUCUUCGGAUUGUAAAGGUCUGUUGUAAGGGAAGAACAGUAAGUAUAGAAAAUGAUACUUAUUUGACGGUACCUUACCAGAAAGCCACGGCUAAA